UACGUAGGGGGCGAGCGUUGUCCGGAAUCAUUGGGCGUAAAGCGCGUGUAGGCGGUCCGGUAAGUCCGCUGUGAAAGUCGGGGGCUCAACCCUCGGAUGCCGGUGGAUACUGUCGGGCUUGAGUACGGAAGAGGCGAGUGGAAUUCCUGGUGUAGCGGUGAAAUGCGUUGAUAUCAGGAGGAACACCCAUGGCGAAGGCAGCUAACUGGGCAUUAUCUGACGCUGAGGCGCGAAAGCGUGGGUAGCAAACAGG
rnacentral:rRNA from 1 species